UUUGGUAGCAACCUGGUCUCGUCGAUUCUUCUGAAACUGAAAGGAACAAACAGAACCAGUGACAGCUCCUGGAGAGCAGGACUUGGGUGAUUCCAUCUUGGUAUUUGUAUACCAGCUCAGUCGGCAGCACAGAGGAGUCACAGGGUAACAGCAGAAGCACAGCAGGGAGCACCACCAUGCUAUCCUUGCUUCCUCACAUCCGGUCAACAGCUCCCAAACGCACCUGGGCCUCAGAGUUAUCCAGAGGUCUUAUUGCAGCGGAGGAUUUAGUUUGUCUAGGGUAGAAUGCAUGAAUACGCAUCUUUCACAAGUUUCCAGCUGCUACAAAGGCUGCAGGUUUGGGGACUGUGUUUUGUGAACCCUAGCUUCUUAUUUGGUACCAAUAUAGUUAUAAAAAUGAAACCAUACACAGGCCAAAAAAAGGUAUUAAAUCAGAUGAUGGAGAAUAUAUUUAUCUUUAUAAAACAAAAUUUUAAAAAUUUCUAUAGUGAAGAUAUGGACUCCUUUAAAAAAAGGACAUCAGAAGGUUUUCAGAUGCCAUCUGAGAAAUGUCAGUCCAGAUAACUGUCCUGGUUUUCCAUCUGAUUAGUGUACUGAGCUAGAGAAGGCUUCCCUCAGUGGAUUCUUCCCUCUUGGCUUUUUAAAAUGGCAACAAGAGCCUCUGGUCAGAUUUAAGGUCAAAAUUAUAUGAUAAACCGGAGAAAGAUGAAUGCAUCAGCAUCUCCCCAAAGUAGCUGGAAGUCUAAAACAGCUAUCAAGAGAGUAGUUUUUUGCUAAAACGUG